rnacentral:rRNA from 1 species
UACAGAGGUCUCAAGCGUUUGUUCGGAUUCAUUGGGCGUAAAGGGUGCGUAGGCGGCGCGGUAAGUCGGGGUGUGAAAUCUCGGAGCUUAACUCCGAAACUGCAUUCGAUACUGCCGUGCUUGAGGACUGGAGAGGAGACUGGAAUUUACGGUGUAGCAGUGAAAUGCGUAGAGAUCGUAAGGAAGACCAGUGGCGAAGGCGGGUCUCUGGACAGUUCCUGACACUGAGGCACGAAGGCCAGGGGAGCAAACGGGG